GCUGCAGCAGAAAGGGACAUGGUGAGACCUGGGUGUGCUUCUAGGGGUGUGUGUCCUGCCUAACCUGCACCUUCCUGGCAGCAGGGCUGCCCUUGGGACAGUACUCAGUGGUGUUUGUCACCUUCUGUGCUGAUUGGUGGCCUGGCGAGGCAUUGAGGGCUGCACUAAAUAGCUCUGGAGUAAGUGCAGAUGGAGUGGGACGUGAAAAGUACAACUUGUAACUGAAUUUCACAGGAACAGCAUUGGGCCCCUAAUCUUUAUUUGAAAAUGUGUACACCUGGGAAGCAUGCAGGAUGUCAGCUUUGUAUGGCCUAAUUAAAGUGUACUGUGGUGCAAGACUUGGCAAGGAACAAACAUUUGCAGGACGGUUGUACUUUGAGAAUACUUCAUACUCUGCCUGAAGAAACAGAAGUUUGCUUGCAUCACUUUGAUUUGCUGUGCUGAGCAGUUGAUUAUUAAGAUGCUAAUAAGCGAGAUUGAAUUGUAGCCUGACAGUUAAAGACAGUACUUCUAAUUUCAUAAAUGAGUUUAAAUGCUGAUGGAUUUUGUCCCAGUGAAUGAAAAUAUCCGUCUCUUAAAAGCUGAUAAUAAACAUUUUGUACCAUUCUGUUUAGUUUUGUGUAUGCAAAUUUCCUCUGUACAAUAAAAGUAAGAUACUUUCUGCUCAUUUAAGCAAAGAAUUAACUGACGAAUGUGGGUAUUAACACUGAAGCUGAAGGCAAGCCCUUCUAGUUACUUCAGUCCUGCUGUGAAAACAACCAAAGCUUUUUCUAAAAUACAGAGCAUCCAUUGUGUUACAAUGAGAGCAUGUGAGCAAAUUUAAUAUGGUUCCCACUUCUGUCUA